rnacentral:rRNA from 1 species
GAUGAACGCUGGCGGCGUGCCUAAUGCAUGCAAGUCGAGCGAACAGACGAGGAGCUUGCUCCUCUGACGUUAGCGGCGGACGGGUGAGUAACACGUGGAUAACCUACCUAUAAGACUGGGAUAACUUCGGGAAACCGGAGCUAAUACCGGAUAAUAUAUUGAACCGCAUGGUUCAAUAGUGAAAGACGGUUUUGCUGUCACUUAUAGAUGGAUCCGCGCCGCAUUAGCUAGUUGGUAAGGUAACGGCUUACCAAGGCAACGAUGCGUAGCCGACCUGAGAGGGUGAUCGGCCACACUGGAACUGAGACACGGUCCAGACUCCUACGGGAGGCAGCAGUAGGGAAUCUUCCGCAAUGGGCGAAAGCCUGACGGAGCAACGCCGCGUGAAUGAUGAAGGUCUUCGGAUCGUAAAACUCUGUUAUUAGGGAAGAACAAAUGUGUAAGUAACUAUGCACGUCUUGACGGUACCUAAUCAGAAAGCCACGGCUAACUACGUG